rnacentral:rRNA from 1 species
GACGAACGCUGGCGGCGUGCUUAACACAUGCAAGUCGAACGGAAAGGCCCUGCUUUUGUGGGGUGCUCGAGUGGCGAACGGGUGAGUAACACGUGAGUAACCUGCCCUUGACUUUGGGAUAAUUUCAGGAAACUGGGGCUAAUACCGGAUAGGAGCUCCUGCUGCAUGGUGGGGGUUGGAAAGUUUCGGCGGUUGGGGAUGGACUCGCGGCUUAUCAGCUUGUUGGUGGGGUAGUGGCUUACCAAGGCUUUGACGGGUAGCCGGCCUGAGAGGGUGACCGGCAACAUUGGGACUGAGAUACGGCCCAGACUCCUACGGGAGGCAGCAGUGGGGAAUAUUGCACAAUGGGCGGAAGCCUGAUGCAGCAACGCCGCGUGCGGGAUGACGGCCUUCGGGUUGUAAACCGCUUUCGCCUGUGACGAAGCGUGAGUGACGGUAAUGGGUAAAGAAGCACCGGCUAACUACGUG